UACGAAGGGAGCUAGCGUUGUUCGGAAUCACUGGGCGUAAAGCGCACGUGGGCGGAUGUGUCAGUCAGGGGUGAAAUCCCGGAGCUCAACUUCGGAACUGCCUUUGAUACAGCACGUCUUGAGUCCGAUAGAGGUGGGUGGAAUUCCUAGUGUAGAGGAGAAAUUCGUAGAUAUCGAGAGGAACACCUGCGGCGAAGGCGGGUUGCUGGGCUGAUACUGACGCUGAGGCGCGAAAGCCAGGGGAGCGAACGGG
rnacentral:rRNA from 1 species